rnacentral:pre_miRNA from 1 species
CCAGUCACAUCCCCUUAUCACUUUUCCAGCCCAGCUUUGUGACUCUGACUGUUGGACGGAGAACUGAUAAGGGUAGGUGGCUGU